rnacentral:rRNA from 1 species
CGAAAGCCUGACGGAGCAACGCCGCGUGAGGGAUGAAGGCCUUUGGGCUGUAAACCUCUUUUCUCAAGGAAGAAGAUCUGACGGUACUUGAGGAAUAAGCCACGGCUAAUUCCGUGCCAGCAGCCGCGGUAAUACGGGAGUGGCAAGCGUUAUCCGGAAUUAUUGGGCGUAAAGCGUCCGCAGGCGGCCGUUUAAGUCUGUUGUUAAAUCGUGGAGCUCAACUCCAUCACGGCAAUGGAAACUGUUCGGCUUGAGUAUGGUAGGGGCAGAGGGAAUUUCCGGUGUAGCGGUGAAAUGCGUAGAUAUCGGGAGGAACACCAGUGGCGAAAGCGCUCUGCUGGACCAUUACUGACGCUCAUGGACGAAAGCCAGGGGAGCGAAAGGGAUUAGAUACCCCUGUAGUCCUGGCCGUAAACGAUGAACACUAGAUGUUGGGGGAAUCGACCCCCUCGGUGUCGUAGCUAACGCGUUAAGUGUUCCGCCUGGGGAGUACGCACGCAAGUGUGAAACUCAAAGGAAUUGACGGGGGCCCGCACAAGCGGUGGAGUAUGUGGUUUAAUUCGAUGCAACGCGAAGAACCUUACCAAGGCUUGACAUCCUGCGAAUCUCCGAGAAAUUGGAGAGUGCCUUCGGGAACGCAGUGACAGGUGGUGCAUGGCUGUCGUCAGCUCGUGUCGUGAGAUGUUGGGUUAAGUCCCGCAACGAGCGCAACCCACGUUUUUAGUUGCCAGCAUUCAGUUGGGCACUCUAGAAAGACUGCCGGUGACAAACCGGAGGAAGGUGUGGACGACGUCAAGUCAUCAUGCCCCUUACGCCUUGGGCUACACACGUACUACAAUGCUGCGGACAAAGAGUAGCGAUCUUGCGAAAGUUAGCUAAUCUCGUAAACCGUGGCUCAGUUCAGAUCGUAGGCUGCAACUCGCCUACGUGAAGGAGGAAUCGCUAGUAAUCGCAGGUCAGCAUACUGCGGUGAAUACGUUCCCGGGCCUUGUACACACCGCCCGUCACACCAUGGAAGUUGGCCAUGCCCGAAGUCGUUACUCUAACCUUUUGGAAGAGGGCGCCGAAGGCAGGGCUGAUGACUGGGGUGAAGUCGUAACAAGGUAGCCGUAGCGGAAGCUGCGGCUGGAUCACCUCCUAA